GUAAAAUUUACAUAAAUUGAGUACAAGGAAACGGUGAUCCACUUAACUAGAAAGCCCUCUACAGCCCCUGAAGAAAGUGACAAACAACAAGCCAAGAAUGAUUUGCCAGUAACAUACAUGUACACAACACCUAAUUCCUCCCUACGCGAGUCAGGGUCAUUGUCUCAAGCUUUGCAGAAAAGCUAUGAACGAUUCACAAUGAUUGAAGAAACACCUUCAGCAGGAUCAAGCAAAGCGUAGAGUGGUAAGCCCAACAAAUCCUUACUGCAUGUGAAAAGGUGAAUGGUAAUUCUAUCAAGUGAGAAGCACCUUUCAUCUCUCAAGAGUGUGGAAGAAUCCACCGCACCUUUCAGCUAAAUGGGCUUUCAUGCAAUUGGCAAUGCUGGAGACAGACCCUUUACCCCACUCACCAUAAUUUGUUCACGUUGCGAUCCCUUUCUCCCGCCAUCUUUUCUGAAAGCCAAAGAAAUUUAGAAAUAUGAUACCAGGGAAACUGCAGGUUGCAUCCGCAGCUGGAAUACGUCUGAUUUGGGUGCCUUUGAUGCAAGGGCUCUGUUGCCUCCCCAUUACUCCUUGGCGAAUCGGACUCUCUGAAAACGUUGAAGGGUCUGGAUCCAGAGCUUGAUGAGUUGUUAACAUUUCUCAAAACUGUUUCAUAAGAGCUGGUAUGCGUAUCAGAUAUGGCUGAAGCAUGACAACGAAAAUACAGAGUGCUUGAAACAAAUAUGGAGCAAUAUACUGAGGAAUUUUAAAUGAUAAUCUUCCCCGAAAGAGCAAUAUACUGAGCAGAUUUUGUUGAAACUAAUUGAUUCAAUUGCAGAUGAUUUUUAUCUUUAUGAUAAUGUAGCCUUAGCAUUGUUGAAAGAAUUGAUCCUUGAUUAUAGCUAUGUAAUUGAUUCUAGGAAAUCAUUUCCAUUCUUGCAAA